rnacentral:tRNA from 1 species
CGGGGUGUGGCUCAGUUGGUAGAGCGCUCGCUUCGGGUGCGAGAGGUCGGCGGUUCGAAUCCGCCCACCCCGA